UUUAGCUCCUGGCUAUCUUGAGCUCUACUCAACCCGUCCCCCACCUCCUUCAGUCUUGCCUGUGGAUUCAGCUCAGGAGUGGUGGCUUCCAUUCUGAGCCCUUGCCUAGGUAUCAGCGACAGGAAGAGACGGUGAUGAGAUCAGUGAUUGCCUAUCUGAUCUCAACUCUUGAGCAAUUACCAGUGACUAAUGUGACAAGCAUUAACCCAUGGCCACACAGCUAUGAGUGGCAGAGGAGAGCAAGAAGUCUUUUCUCCGGACCCCAGAUUCAGUGCUUGCUCCUGUGUCGCUCAAACUUUGUUAUCAUAUUGACUAAAGGGAAAAGGAGACUAAAUUGUUUUCUCACAAAAUGUGGAUGUGCUCUCUAAAAAAACAAAUAAUUUUGUUGUGGCAUUAUGUUUUACCUUAUAAACUAAUGUGAAUUAAAUAAACAAACUACUGUCACAUACAACAAUUGUAGAUAAAUCUCAUAAAUUAAUGUUUGGAAAACAAAGAUAGCAGCAAAGAGAGUAUGCUACAUGAUUCUCUUUGUAUAAAAAUACGAAAGAGAACAAACUAAUCACCAGUGUUGGAAGUGAGGAUAGUGGUUACUCUUGGUGAUGGUGUCAGAGAAGGGGCAAUGGGGACUCUGCAGUGCAGGAAUGUUAUCUGUCUUCGUCUCAGUGCUGAUCACAUGGAUGGGUUUCCUUUGUAAAAGUACAUCAAGCUGUAUGCUUAGAAAUGUUCAC